GGGCCUGUAAUGUUAACGGUAGCAUACUACUCUUGACAGGUAGCUGUGCGGGUUCGACUCCCGUCAGGUCCACCA
rnacentral:tRNA from 1 species